rnacentral:misc_RNA from 1 species
GUUUGGUUGCCUUGUUGUAUUUUUAGCAUAGUUUUCAGCAUUUUCUGUAAUUUUUAGCUGAUGAGGAGAAAUUUUGAGAAACAGUUUUGCAGGAAUAAUUUGCCUAGCUUGUUAGGAAGGUAAAAAGCUGCACGUUGUAAAAGUUCCUGUAUAUUUAUUUUCUACACUUGGAAUUGCUGGGAUCUUGGUAUUAUUAAGCAUUUGAUAACUUGAU